rnacentral:rRNA from 1 species
GAUGAACGCUAGCGGCAGGCUUAAUACAUGCAAGUCGUGGGGCAGCAGGGGUGUAGCAAUACAUCUGCUGGCGACCGGCAAACGGGUGCGUAACACGUACGCAACCUUCCCGUUACUGUGGCAUAGCCCAGGGAAACUUGGAUUAAUACCACAUAUUAUAUAGAGAGGGCAUCCUUUUUAUAUCAAAGCUUCGGCGGUAGCGGAUGGGCGUGCGGUUGAUUAGGUAGUUGGCGGGGUAACGGCCCACCAAGCCUACAAUCAAUAGCUGAUGUGAGAGCAUGAUCAGCCACACGGGCACUGAGACACGGGCCCGACUCCUACGGGAGGCAGCAGUAAGGAAUAUUGGGCAAUGGACGAAAGUCUGACCCAGCCAUGCCGCGUGAAGGAUUAAGGUCCUCUGGAUUGUAAACUUCUUUUCUCUGGGGCGAAAACCAGCUAUUCUUAGCUAUUUGACAGUACCAGAGGAAUAAGCACCGGCUAACUCCGUGCCAGCAGCCGCCGUAACAC